AGACGUGGCUUAAUUGUCCAGAGUGAUAACAUGGAUAUCAGUGAAGAUCAAGCAUGUAGAGAAUACAUGUAUUGGUAUAUAUCUUGGGCUUCCUUAUACUUGCUACAAGCUCCAUCUGAAGUACCAAAAUCAUAUUAUCCAAAAGCACCAAAGGAGAGAGUUCUGGGCCAUCAUUUCCUGAAGACGGAAGGGUUGCUACAACCUAUAUUUGGGAAAUGUGAUGACAACCCAUAUCAACCUCUAAUCGAUGCAUUUGAGGGCUUAUGCAGAGAGGUUCACAGGACUGUAUAUUACAGUUGAUCGCUAAGGCAACGAAAACAUUGUGGAGCACCCACCAACCUCUGGUAGUUUAUACCUGUUAGCAGUUGCAAGUGUAGCACCAUCAACUCGAGUUGAUCCAAGUUCAUCUGCUAUCCGCAAUCCAAGUGGAUUGUAUGUCGAGCAUGCAUUCAAUAGCACACCGUAGCACCUGCCACAACAGCAUACACAAUUUACACCACUACAUUACCAAAGCACACCCCCAUUCUGAAUGGGUGGAGCCACCACCCCGUUCAAAUCACCAUAUUCUAGGCAUUUUUGGUUGUCUCCACCAACUCCACAACAACAAUCAUAAUUCAUGACACAUACUGGUAUGAUGACGGGGGCAUAACUGUCGGUGGACUGUCGGUGGACUAUGAUCGUGAGCACCAUUUGAGAGAUAGGCUAGUUCACCCACGUCAAAGUUAGAACCCAGGAACGGAUGCAAUACAUCAACAAAAACAUUGCGGACACUUGUUUUGUUGUUUCUUUAUCCUCAUAUCUAUAGGUUGUUUUUCAUGAUUUCGUGGUAACAUAUACCUUUUUUUAUCCCCACAUGCAUGGCAAUACUUUCACCCAACAUAGCUGUUGGUUUCAGAUUUCAUUCUUUACAAAUACUUUGGUGUAUUAGGACAUAUUUUUGUUACAAGAUUUGCAAAGCUCAUAUGUUUUACCUAGCAGUCAAUUCAUACAUAUCAGGUUGUAUUCUCAUUGCCAUAUUUUUGUUCCCUUUGUCAUUUUCACUGAUAUGUAUGUACAUCUUCCUUAUUGGAAACUAAUUUUUUGAUUUUAAUCGUGAAGCUAUAUUCUCUGGAAACCUUUCUUUGGAAUUGGUUGAGGAAUCCCCUUGGAGAAUAAAAAGAACCUGCUUUUGUGGCAAUUAUAGAGCAUGACUUCUAUGCGAAGAUGAUAUCACAGUGUUAUUAGUGUAUUUAAUUUUGCUGAAGAAUCUUAUGCAUCUUGGUUUAUUUGAGCUGCUUCCUCAUGGUUAAAUUAUUGUCAGAGCAGUUCCUGCACUUCAAGGUGGAUACUACCACCAUUUAUUUGAAUGGUCUUGGAAUUACGACAUCGGGGCAUGGAAAUGGGAUCCUUGUGCUCAUGGAAUUUGUUGAAUUAGAAUUAGCAAGAUGGAAGAAAAUUCAGAAGCAGCUUUGCUUCAACUACUAUGUAUGACUAACAACAAAUUGCUGAUGUAUACAACCUGCAAUUUUAUGCUACAGCCUAUACCGUAAAGUA